UUUGAAAUUUCAAUCUCUGUUUUCUUCUUCUACCUGCCUCUGCAAAUGGAAAGAAACAACAUAGAGAAGAAUUUUCCCAUUGAUAUGAAUUCAGCCACUCCACCUGAGAAGAAUGAAGCUGCUAUAGUCAUUCUGGGUUUUAAAUAACACAUUUUUUUCUAUGAUAGACAAGAAUGCUAAUAUAAUGAGUAAUUGUGCUAAAAUAUUUGCAAAGUGAAUCUUCUCAGAAACUUUGAAUCUUUUUCUGAUGCUAAAGAGUUCUACAAUGCGGAAAUCCAUCAUUCAUUAUGAGUUUCUAUUCAUGGUACUGACCUAAGGGCCAACAUACAAAGUCGAGUGAGAGACAGAGCAUGUCCUCAAGGAGCAGAUUGUCCAAUGGGGAAGAGAGAAGAGGAGUUUGGACACAGAAAGAGACACCCCAACACAUGCGCACACAAAGAGAUGACCACAUGAAGACACAAGAAGGCAGCCGUCUGUAAGUCAAGGAGGGAGGCCUCAGAAGGAACCAAGCCUGCCAACACUUUCAUCUUGGACUUCCCAGUCUCUAGAACGAUUGAAUGCAGCAACAAAGAGCUUUGUGCUGAAAGUUUUAAAAAUCACCUUUAUAAUUCCUUUAACUAAAUUCCUAGAAGUGGGAUUUUUAGGUAAGUGUAUGUAAAUGACUUUGAUUUGAUACAUCUUCUGCUAUACUAAAUCAAAAGCUAUACUGAUCUUCGGCAUCUUUCUUUGUCAGCUUCUCCACUUCAUUCUUUCCAUCAGCUGAACACCAUCUGUCAAUGGCCACUUACUUUGCCUGACUUUCUCAAGUUGUCCCUGGUUACUUCCUUGGAGACAAAAGCAACCUGUGAUGAGGUCAGAAGUAUCAUGUUCACACUAAAGAGGCAAGGCCUCUGAUGAGUAGCUGAGUGAAAUCCUAUCUCUGACCUCAGUGCUUCUGCUACCUUUCAUGAAGGCCAUCCUUUGUUCCAGCACACUGACAGAAAUAAAAAUUCUCUCUAAGCUGACAAAUGGGGUGGGUCAUUAGUGAACACUGUGACAGAUUUCAGACAUCAUACAGACCUCAUAUUGGCCUAAAAGAUAAAAAUCACAGACAAUAUAUCGUUUGGCAGCUUGAAUGACAAAACAAUGUGAUUUUAAAUGAAAAUACUUUUAAUUUGCUCCUACAAAUGAAUUAAUGAGUUUUCCUUCUACAAUCAAUUCUAUUUGCUGUAAUUUCUAAACAGCUGAUAGAUUAAAAUUAUAUGGUUAGUUAAAAUAACUAUUUUUUGUUAAAUUUUUUUUUGGCUGGGCAUGAUGGCUCAUGCCUAUAAUUCAAGCAC